rnacentral:rRNA from 1 species
GACGAACGCUGGCGGCGUGCCUAAUACAUGCAAGUCGAGCGAAGUUUUUCUGGUGCUUGCACUAGAAAAACUUAGCGGCGAACGGGUGAGUAACACGUAAAGAACCUGCCUCAUAGACGGGGACAACUAUUGGAAACGAUAGCUAAUACCGGAUAACAGCAUAAAUCGCAUGAUAUAUGUUUGAAAGUUGGUUUCGGCUAACACUAUGAGAUGGCUUUGCGGUGCAUUAGCUAGUUGGUGGGGUAAAGGCCUACCAAGGCGACGAUGCAUAGCCGACCUGAGAGGGUGAUCGGCCACACUGGGACUGAGACACGGCCCAGACUCCUACGGGAGGCAGCAGUAGGGAAUCUUCCGCAAUGGGCGAAAGCCUGACGGAGCAACGCCGCGUGAGUGAAGAAGGAUUUCGGUUCGUAAAGCUCUGUUGUUAGGGAAGAAUGAUUGUAUAGUAACUAUAUACAGUAGAGACGGUACCUAACCAGAAAGCCACGGCUAACUACGUGCCAGCAGCCGCGGUAAUACGUAGGUGGCAAGCGUUGUCCGGAAUUAUUGGGCGUAAAGCGCGCGCAGGUGGUUUAAUAAGUCUGAUGUGAAAGCCCACGGCUCAACCGUGGAGGGUCAUUGGAAACUGUUAAACUUGAGUGCAGGAGAGAAAAGUGGAAUUCCUAGUGUAGCGGUGAAAUGCGUAGAGAUUAGGAGGAACACCAGUGGCGAAGGCGGCUUUUUGGCCUGUAACUGACACUGAGGCGCGAAAGCGUGGGGGGCAAACAGG